rnacentral:rRNA from 1 species
AUUGAACGCUGGCGGCAGGCCUAACACAUGCAAGUCGAACGGCAGCACAGAAGAGCUUGCUCUUUGGGUGGCGAGUGGCGGACGGGUGAGUAAUGUCUGGGAAACCGCCCGGUGGAGGGGGAUAACUUCUGGAAACGGUAGCUAAUACCGCAUAACGUCGCAAGACCAAAGUGGGGGACCUUCGGGCCUCACACCAUCGGAUGUGCCCAGAUGGGAUUAGCUAGUAGGUGGGGUAAUGGCUCACCUAGGCGACGAUCCCUAGCUGGUCUGAGGGGAUGACCAGCCACACUGGAACUGAGACACGGUCCAGACUCCUACGGGAGGCAGCAGUGGGGAAUAUUGCACAAUGGGCGCAAGCCUGAUGCAGCCAUGCCGCGUGUAUGAAGAAGGCCUUCGGGUUGUAAAGUACUUUCAGCGGGGAGGAAGGCGGUGAGGUUAAUAACCUCGCCGAUUGACGUUACCCGCAGAAGAAGCACCGGCUAACUCCGUGCCAGCCGCCGCGGUAA